AGCUGUCGAAACUGAAGGGAAAGGAGAGACGGCAGGUGGUAUCCAUUAUGCAGAAGGGUUUCACCAUCGGAUGACGGCACAGGCCGCUGGGCUGCCUGCUACAGCAUUUUCCCACAAGUCCACAACAAGGUCAGAAAAUACCUUCCUUGGCACGAGGCACAGAGCAUUCCUUUCGGUUAAGUCAUUUGAUGGAGCUGUGAUGCUGAGACUUCCUACUUCACUGGACUUCAGAGGAAGCGGUUCUCUGGAAAUCUCUAGCCGACUCCAUUCUACACAUGGCCUGCCCAGGAGAAUUUUUUCAUCAAGCACAUCCUGAAUCUGAAGGAUGAGCUAGCUACACCUCAGGAACACACUGUCCAUGAAUUCACUCUGCGUUUUUUCAGUUCACUCUGCAAGAUAAGGAUGGUGGGAGGUGAAACUGCCAGAGAAAUCUGAUGUGAUGUCUAAAAAAACAGCCCGAGUCACAGCUCUAUCAAAAGAGGAAGCUGCUUGCCGAAGCCUUCCUUGUGCACCCGGGUCCACACUCACUUCUCCCUUCUCUGAAUUCUGACAGUAUCUGGUGCUUCUCUCACUCACACAAACACCUAAGUAUAAAUGGUCCUGCGCUGUUACAGGGAGGCGGUGUGGUGUGCUGGAGACCGACUCUCUAGAUUCAAAUCUCAGUGCCACCACCUACCAGCUAUAAAGCGUUGGUUCUCUCCUCCGUACACUCAGGACGGGAACAGAACCCACCUCACGUUCCUGCUGAGAAUGAAAGGACGUAGUAAGGUAAAGCACUUCCAAGUAGGAGCUCAAUAAACGUCUGCAGAAAACAGAACAAAACCUACAA